rnacentral:rRNA from 1 species
GACGUAGGGCGCGAGCGUUGUCCGGAUUUAUUGGGCGUAAAGAGCUCGUAGGCGGCUUGUCGCGUCGUCCGUGAAAACUUGGGGCUCAACCCCAAGCUUGCGGUCGAUACGGGCAGGCUCGAGUUCGGUAGGGGAGGCUGGAAUUCCUGGUGUAGCGGUGAAAUGCGCAGAUAUCAGGAGGAACACCGGUGGCGAAGGCGGGUCUCUGGGCCGAUACUGACGCUGAGGAGCGAAAGCGUGGGGAGCGAACAGG